rnacentral:rRNA from 1 species
GACCUUAAGCCGAUUGGUAUUCCUCAAUCGCGGCACGAGGGGAGACUAAGUGGAAAAGGCAAGAUCGGAAGGGAAUCCACGAUAUGUAUGGACGGUCAUUCUAUGACUGAAGCACACCACACAGUUCUGCAAAAUUCCAGCUUGGUGGCUCCGUACUUCGAGCAACACAAGAAUAUUUUACGCUCGGACAACCCGGGGAAGCCUGAAUCCUGGAUUAGAAAGGCCCACAUGGAGACUUUCGGCAGUUGGUUGCGAAAACAUUUAAUGAAUGACAAUGAUGUUGGAGAUCAGCUGUACAUGUUGGCCAAGAAACCAUCUUCGACUAUAACGACUUUCCAAGGGUACGAGAUAAAUGGGAAUACAUUUUACACCAUCGCCCAAGAUAAAAAAAGCACCAACCAAAACAGUGGUGUCCGCUUUGAUGCAGCAACCGAGAAUGGGCAAAAGGUC